UGUCUAAAUCUUAUUGGCUAUACAAUAACUAACUAGGACAUAAUUAUUCCUCUCUAUGUCAAUAUUGUGCCAUUCACGUGACCAUUAGAAGGUUCUGGAUUUAUUGGGCCACAAUUGUGUGAUGAGCUGUUUCUGAGCUGAUGUGGACGGCCCAAAUUUCUCCUUUUAUGUUGGUGCUUAUGUAUGGCUAGAUCUCGUCCACGUAGCCUUGAAUAAUUUAAGGACAGAUCUAAACACUUUGAUGAGUUCAAAGUUUGUCCAAUUGAAACCCACGAUGUUGACCCUUUCUUCUUCACUGAGAGUUGAGAGUUUUUCUCCAUUGCUGGUAAGCUUGAGCUUCUUUUAAUUCCAACAUCCCCCCUCAAGAUGGAGGGGAGUGAAGCGACACCCAUCUUGUAAAGCUGUUGUUGAUGAGAAGGGCCUGAUAAGGACUUCGUGUAAAUGUCGGCUAACUGGUCUUUUGAAGGAACAAAAGAGAGGGAGAUGAGACCGGAGAGAUACUGCUGUCUCACAAAAUGACAGUCAAGCUCCACGUGUUUCAUCCUCUAAUGAAACACUGGAUUUCGUGCAAUGUGAAUCAUCGCUUGACUAUCGGAGUGAAUCGGAACAGGUAAUGGUGGUGGAAUCGACAGAUCUGAGAGUAGACGGGUCAACCAAGUUAACUCAGCCAUCAAUCGACGCAUUGACUUAUAUUCGGCUUCAGCCGAUGAUAGAGAGACGGAUGUUUGCUUUUUUGACUUCUACGAGAUAGUAGAACCACCCAUAGUGAUAUAAAACCCACUAACGGAGCGACGAGAGUCCGGACACGAAGCCUAAUCAACAUCGCAAAAAGCGGCAAGGGAGAAGGAUGGUGAAGCAGACGAAAAAAUUCGUUGGUUGGGAUUUUCUUUCAGAUAACUUGCAAAAAGAGUCCAUGGGUGAAGAAACAGAUGACAGAUGGGAAAUGUCAAACUCUUGAAGUAGAUCUAAGGUAUAUUUCCUCUGACUGAUGAUGAUCCCCUGCUCUUCUCGUAUAAUUUCCAUUAACAAAAAAUAGUGAAUAGGGCCAAGAUCCUUGAUUUGGAAUUCCUUAUGAAGAAAAACUUUGAGUUGUUGAAUUUCAUGAACAUCAUUGCCUGUAAUGAGCAUAUCAUCUACGUAUACCGCAACAAUAGAAACAAGAUCACCUUUCUUCUUAAAAAAUAGUGAAUAGUCAUUAAGAGAGGCAGUGAAACCUUUAAAACCCAAAGCACCAGCAAGCCUGGCAUACCACUGCCUAGAGGCUUGCUUGAGGCCAUAUAAAGAUCGUCUAAUCUUGCAAACCAGAUUAGGAUGAGGAGGAGUGAGACCAGUUGAAAAUUUCAUAUAGACCUCCUGGAGCAAAUCACCCUGUAGAAAUGCAUUGUUCACAUCAAAUUGUGAAGCUGGCCAGUUCUUUUUAGCUGCAAUGGAUAGCAAACACCUGAUGGUGGUCAUUUUGACCACUGGGAAAAAUGUUUCAUUGAAAUCUAUUCCCUCUUGUUGAAUAUCACCUCUAAUUACUAGUCUAGCUUUCAACCUUUCCAAAGAACCAUCAGCAUGUUGUUUCACCUUGUAAACCCAUUUACAAGGUAAUGCUCUUCUUCCGGGAGGAAGAGGGACUGCAUCCUAUGUGUGAUUAGAUUGUAAGGCUUUAAUCUCAACCUCCAUUGCUUGUUUCCAACCAGGGUGAAUUGAAGCUUGAUAAUAACUAGUGGGUUUUGUGAUAUUGGAGACUGAUUUAAGUAGGAGUUGAUUGACAAAGAUAAACCAGUGAUGGAAAGAACAGUAGGUUUGAUAGGGGUAACAAAACAUGAUUCAGUGCCUGGACUAAGAAAAAUUGUAUUGCAGUAGUAAUCUUUGAGAUGAGAGGGUAAAAUCCCUUUGGUUAUUCUCUCAGACUGUCUAACCGGAACAGGGGCAUUAGAAGAGGGUGGUGGGAUAUGUAAAGGAGCAGGGAUGCAAAUGGGUAAAGGAUUAGGAUUAGAAGUGGAUAAAGAAUCAGAAUUAUGUAGUACAGGAAAAGGUGAUUGGGAAGAGGGUGGUGUAGUGAUAGGUGAUUGGGAAGAAGUAGGCAAAGGUGUAGGCAGUGAAGUAGGAUCAGAUGUGAUAUAUGGAGAUGGUGUAGUGAUAGGUGAUUGGGGAGGAAUAGGUAUGGGUGUAGGCAGUGAGGUAGGAUCUGUGAUAUGUGGAGACGCAAUUUCUAGAGAGGGUGAAACAUCAGGAAAAAAAUGAUCAGGAGAUGAUGAGGAAGAAGUGGAAAUAGGGGAAGGAUCAGUUUUAGGAACAAAAGGAAAUAUGUCCUCCUGAAAGGAAACAUCUCUUGAGACAAACACAUUUCUGCUCUCUAAUUCUAAUAGCUUAUAUCCCUUUUGAGAACUGGGAUACCCUAAGAACACACAGAUUUUAGCUCUUAAGUCAAAUUUACCCCUUCCAUGAGCAAGAGUACUUGCAUAACAUAAGCACCCAAAACAUCUCAUAUGUUGAUAAGAACCCCCUCUACCUCCCAAAGUAAGGGUAAGUCUGCAUACACUCUAUCCUCCUAACUCCACUUAUGAAAUUAGAGUGGGUAUGUUGUUUUUGUGGAGGAAAUAGGAUCUCUUGGCCACUUACAACUUGAAUAGAAGAAAAUGUCUUUUUCAGAUCUCUUAUGUGUUUUUUUUCAGAUCUCUUAUGUGUAAAAAAUAAAAAUCUCUUGUAAAAAGGUCAUACAAAAAAAAAAAAGUUUGUAAAAGAUCAAAAAUCUGUUUUUGUCCUCCUCCAAUAUUUUGGAGUAUGGUUUAAUAUUAAUAGUCAAGGCAAUGAUUUUUUCCAAAGGAUGAGAAUAAUAUUAGAUCAAAUGCCUAACAUAUACUCGUGGCAAAGUUGUUUAAUUUUGAAUAAUAUAAAAACAACCUUUUUUCAAAUUAGUAAAUUUGUCGCUGCCCUGUUGCCCGGUUUAGAAAAAAUUGCUUUUGCUGUAUAAACUAUCUAAAAUUACAGUGUUUUGGUGAAAAUUGAGAAGUUAUCCGGUAGAAUAAUAGUGCAACAAUAAAUUUCCAAAAUUGAACAGAUAAAAAAAUUUAUGUAGUUUAAAAUUUAAUCCAAUAGAGUAAUCGUCAGAAUAUGGAGAACAAAAAUUCAAGAAUUUGAAUUUGUUUUUAAGUCUAGGAGAAAAUGAAAUGAAGUUUGUCGGAGUGAGUGAGAGAGAGAGAGAACAACAAAAAAAGGGAAAAUAGAAAAUAGUACUCCCCGGACUCAUUUUAGGUGACACUCUUAUCUUUUUACUCUGCUAAAAAAUACACAUUUCUUUAUUAAUUCAAAUUUAAACUUUGCAUUGCCAUGAAUAAGAUGAUUUAAAUCAACAUAAAUAUUCAUAAUUUAUUUUAGAUUGUUAAUUCAAAAAAUAUUUUCCUUUCUUAAAUUCAGUAUUCCGUCAAACAAACAUAACACAAACAUAGCAGUUAAAAAGAGAAGAUGACAUACAUGUCUCCUUAUCUUUGGCAGUAGAUAAAAUUGUCCCUUAAAUAACAAUUUAGCAGUUUUGGUCCUUUUAAAUUUGUCAAAAGUGAAUAUUUUUUGUCUCCAUAAAAUUUUUGCCAAACUCUGUUUUAAAUUUAAUCAGAACUAUGAAAAUAAUUUUUUUUAACGGGAACUCACAUUAGGAAGUACAAAUUUUGUAGUUUAUGUUUUUUUUUUUUUUUGUGUAUUUCAAGAGUCCGAUGCAACUUUUACAGUGCAAAAUCUGUUAUUUUUAAUCUAUUUUUUUUUUAUUUUUUUUUGUGUCUGGUGUAGUUUUUUAUGUUCCAGUUUCUGGAAUUUUGACAAAAAUUUCUGGUGUUUUUGUUUAACCUUUUAAUGAAAGUUCCAGCUAAAUUAACAAUCAAAGUUAGAUAAAUAUUUGACGAAAAACCUAAAGAAUCAAAACUGCACUGCUCGUUGAUACUCAAGAGACUAGAUUGAACCAAGAUAAGAGACCAUUUUUAUCAUUUUCACCAGUUAAAAAGGUUCCAUAACAGAAGUGGUGAAGGAGGGAAGUGAUUUGGUGGGAAAUGGACAGGGAAGGGAAACUGUGAUCACAAACACACAAGGCAAAACAGUGUGCACAAGAAUUGCAGUACUACGGUGGUUGCUCAGCUCAAAUAAACAUUCCUGCUUGAUCACCAUGCAUGGUAAUUCCUUUGUUUCACUUUAAUUUCUGCCUCUACAUAUUAUACAUUUUAAAAUUAGUGUUAGAAUCAAGGUCUGCGUACAUCAUACCCUCCACAGACCUCACUUGUGGGAAUACACCGGGUGUGUUGUUGUAGCGUUUGCAGAGAGUACGUCGUGCAAUAGAUGUAUAUAAUCAAAGGAGGGUUCAAGAUUUUAUAGAAUGAGAGAGAUAUUUCAUACUUGGAAUUGCAAAUAACCCAAAUGUCAGAUUAGGGAAUGGUGUUUGGUGUAAUUGACAGAUAAUUCUAUCAGUGGCGGAUCCAAAAUUUUCAAUCCUGAGGUUCGAAAAAACAAAAACAAAAGCUAAAUAGAAAAAAUAAUGUUGUCCCUGGGAAUCAAACCUAGGAUGCUAGAGAUAAUUUUGAACACCCUGGACCGUUCGAGCUAACCUUUAGCAUUUAUUUAGGAUAUUCAAAAGUUAAUAUAUGUACAUAAACACAGAAAAUCUACCAUAUGUAUACUGUUUACUCCUUAAAAAGGUAACAAUUGAAUUUAUACGUGGUUAAAUGAUAUGUGGUGUAAAUAAGCAAUAACAAGCAACGAUUCGUAAAGAGCAAGAAAAGAGAUAACCUUGAUUGGUAAUUGAGGAACACAACUAAUUGGUCCGGCUUUGAGCCUUUUUGUCUCGAACCCAAGCCAAUCUUAAGAGAAUUUGAAUAGUUUUAGUGAUUACGGGUCUAAGAGUAUGAAAUAUGUGUGUAAAGUGACAAUUUGAUCCCCUAAUGAGAGGAUCCACCUCUGUAUUUGUAGUACAAGAGUUAGAGUUAUACAUGGUAACUAAAUCUGUUAAGGAGAUAAUGAUCCCGAUGAUCUCGGGCGCCUCAAUGGUUCAUAGCGUGACGGGCGACGAGAAAUCCAUUACAAGUAGGAUUUCUCGCAUUUGUGUCAACUAGCACCCCUCCGGUUUGUGAUCCCUCGGGUUUUAUUCUAUCCGACUGGUCAAAACUGAACAGGUGAUCCAUCGGGCUUUAUUCUAUCCUACUGACCGAACUCCAACCAACAUUACAUCUCAAAGCCAACUCUCAUAUCUUGCUCUGAUAUUCCGUUGACUGACCCAAACAUUUUACCCCGGUUUAUACUGUAUACAGAUAGUCCCUCCAUUUCCCGGUGGAAAGCAUUGACUCCGGGGAAUGGAUUUAAACAAAAAACCGAAACCGAUCCAUGGUAGCCACACGAAAGUCCAGCUCCGCCGCCUAAAAAGACAUUCUUCAGUUCUGCACUUUACACGAUGUUGAUUGCUCAUUAUUACACCACUGUAGCGAUCAGCAUUGGUAACCGUUUUGACAUCAGGACUUCCAACUCUUCAACUUCUAACCUUUUGUGUAUAAAAGGUAAAUGCUCCACUCAUACUAAGCUAUACACUUAGUUUCCUUACACAGCAAAAACUCUAUAGAAAAAACCCUACGUCAUAGCUUUUGAAAUCUCUUUCUUCCAAUCCUUUUUCAACAAUGUCUUCCAUUCCCCUGCUAACUCAGUUUCCUGCUAAUCCUUCAUCGCCAUCCCGUUCUUGACCACCAUCUCCAACGGCGGCUUCUAGUCCCAGUGAAGAACUUGAGUUUCUUGCUGUUGACAUUCUCCCCUCUGGCUUCAAGUACCAAAAAUAUUGUAAGGUUUAAAACCAUCUUGAAUCCGUAGAGAGCUUCGAAUCGUUUGUUGAUGCUGCCACUAUCCCCAAGGUUCGGAAUGAUUGUAACUUGGAUGCCGAGAUCGAUGUCGUCCAAGUUAGCCAUGGGACAAGAAUCAACCAUCAUGUCGCAAGUUACUCCCUGGUUUACACAUACCCUUUUGUAAUUGGUUAUUCUUUCCUCGUUCCUCAGAUAAUAUAGGAUUUUUGUCACCAUUAUCGGAUUUGUGUCGGGAAAGUUUCUCCGCAAGUUUAGAGAUUGGUGUAUUGUAUCAAUCUUUUGGCCAACAUAUCCGGAGUCUCUUUUUUUUCUUGAUCAUCUGAUCCACAUCUACGUUCCACAAGUUAUUCGAGGUGGCCUAGUGCAUUUGUAUCCUCGUGAAGCACGAGGUCUCAUUAACCCAGAGGACGACUAUGACAGAGGCUGGCUACAUUGAUUUGUUAUGAUUCCGACGAACCAACUCCAUCGUUCCCUAUCCGAGCCUUUUCCCCAAGCAUGGAAUCCCACUCCGAUAUCAGUCGAACUAGAGCUUAUAAUCAGAAUUUUUGAUUAGGUCGUCGCGUUGCUAGCCACUUCUCGUGACCUGACCCGCUCAUGGAGACGCAUUUCCUCCAAAUGGUGGAGAGGGAAAAAUCAUGGUAAGUUUUUGACCUUCUUUCACACUUACUCACAAUUUUCAUCCGUUGUGCGCCUUAUACUAGGAUCCUUAUUUUUAGGACUUCUAACAAAGAGACUUUCCUCGACGAAGAAGACUGCUUCCAAGGAAGAAGUUGUUGAAGGUAUUCUUCCUUCGAGCAAGAAACAGAAGCAAGGAGAUGCUCCGACAAUCCCAGUUUCCUUCACAAGAAGUGGCUUCAGGGUCCGAUCAUGUCACUUACUUUCAGAGGCUAGGAGGGAAGCUUCUCGAGGGAAUCAAGCUCCUGUAGUCAUUCUUGAUGAUGAUGAGUCGCUUGUCGAAGUCAAUGUUGCCAUGCAGAACAUUCCCAGUGGUAAUUCGGCCAUGCCAUCUGCUACAUCAUCUCUGAGGAAUAUAUUGCCUGAAGGAGCUGCUAUGGGGCCUUCGCCUCAUUUUGGUUCUCAACAAGAUGAAAACCUCCAUGAAGAGAUUGAACGCCUUCGAGACGAGAAUAUGAACGCCUUCGAGAAGAGAAUCAACGACUUAAGUCUGCUCAUCGGGAUUCCAAUUUUGACAAACCCGAAGUCGCUGAGUUGAAGUAUGAAUCUGCCAAGCGCCCGAGGUUGCGAACUAAAGCUCCUAACCUUCGGGUCACCAGAUUGAUUUCCCCCAGUUUUUUUGUUUAAGUCCAUAUGUUUGGCCAUGUUUUGUACGGUUAUUAUAACCGAGAUAGUUAUGCAUCUUUCAAUAUAUAUAAGUUUUAUUUGAAUCUAAUAGGAUCUUUUUGGAUUACGAAUGCUUUUAUCCGCUUUCAGUUUCAUUCGAACCAGAUUGGAUCUUUUUGUGCAUGAAUUUUUCCUUUUGUCCGAAUUUCUAUCGGAAUAACAAGAAGUGGAAUGCCGGUCUCGGUAGAACCUUCUUUUGUAAGUUUUGAAAUAGGCGGGAAAACAAGUGUCGUUUCACAUCACGUCCGACUGACUUUGAACACGUCUAGCUUCCCAAUUGGACGUCCCUUCAGUUCUCUGAUCGAUGCGUUUCGCCACAAUUACUCAUCGCAUAUAAAUAGUCCUAUCCCCUUCACAUUUCACCAUUUACCACACUUUCUUACUCUCCGUUCUUCACUCUUGCCUUCUUUCUACCUUUUAUCUGAAACGUUCAACCCUCAUCAGAAUCUUCAAAUCUUCGUUGGAAACCUUCAAAUCUUUAUAAAUUUCUUCAAUCCUCAUAAACUUCUCCAAAUCUUCAUCAGAAACCUUCAAACCUUCACCAAUUUCUUCAAAUCUUCAUAUAUUAUCUUCAAAUCUUAAAAAAUAACAACGAACUCCCGAUCUUCUUCUAGAAACGCCUCACUGACUACUUUUCCUCCUCCAGCGGCUGACUUCGGCACUAGCCUCGGGAUUAGAGCUCGAACCGAACCCUUCGAAUCUCAGCCACAAGAUAUUCUGCCCACAUACUUCCAUUUCGACACCGAGUUCGCCGUCGAAGUGGCCAUGAAAAAUUUCGACAGAGGGUUUGAUAUCCGAAGAUACCCUUCUUCGAUCAAGGCGAUAGACUUACCGCGAGUCCGAACCUAAUGCGGUUGGUCAGACCUUCUUUCAGAGAUUGUCAUUCUGGGUCCGGACGAUGACAUCACACCUUUGUGGAGGGAUACUCAAGUGUUUACACUUACCCUUUCAUGUUCAAACUUGACCCCCUGAUCGAUUGGGUCAUUCUCGAUAUGUGCCAAAUAUAUAAUUUGUGCCAUGCACAAACCGACUCGAAUGUUUGGAGGAUUGCAACUUGCCUUCGCUUUUUGGUGAACAACGUCAAUGUGGAAUUCACUCGGCAUCGUUUGAUUCGGCUAUUUUGCCCACGUUUCUUUUGUGGCGGGGGCAUAAAGCUUUCUAAACGAGGAGAGAACCCUAUCAUCUGCAGAGUCGAUAAAAAUAGAGACCGAGGAUAGAUGCAACAUUUUGUCAGGGUUAAGACCGCGAAGAUUAUCCCAGAGGGAUCUAUGCCAUUUCCCGAGCGGUGGAACGAUACUCGUAAGCAUCGUAGAACUUUAAUCUCUCCGCGCUCUUUUAACUGUUCAUCUAAUUCUCUUUUAUUUCGAUCGUUGCAUGGAUCCUGGAUGAAAUAAACUUCCACGUUUGGGUGGAGGGCAUUAUAUGCCAGUACCCGCAUCAAUUGCGUACGGGGAAGGAGCUAUCCGACAAAACAUGGAUAGCAAAAAAUCAUGGUAAGUGGAUUUCUUUUGUCUUGUGUUAUUCCCUUCAUUUAUCCCCUUUUCUAAUAUUGACAUUUUUCUCAGGCUUGGGGAAAGGGUUCCGUAAUCUCGAUGCUAGAACCGACUGAUGCCCCUACCGCGCCAAGUUCAGAGUUUGACCCGUCAGGCUCGGCGAGGCUUAUUAUCGAGGCAGAGGAUAAGAAAAAGAGAACCAGGUCCUCCAGGAUCCCGAAGUCAUCUUCGGUGAGCCGAAAAAGAAAGAAAAUCUCUAAGGGUGAUGUUGACACCCAAUUUUGUCCCGCCUCUCCCCCGGAAUACCUAUUUACGCUUCUAAUAUUUUCGACAAAUUAAUACCAACGUUUGAUUAUUCUAUUACAGUUAUUAUUAUUAUUAUUAUUAUUAUUAUUAUUAUUAUUAUUAUUAUUAUUAUUAUUAUUAUUAUUAUCUAUUUUGGCAUUUUACCAGCUUAUGCACACGCAUCACAUUUAUCUUCGCUUAAUAAUAGCAUUUACUCACUGUUGAAUCUCAAAUAUAUUAUCACCCGUACUAUUUUUCGGAUCAAUUCAUAAAAUUUAGCCCAAAUAAUUACCCAAACAACCCAUAUUUUAGCCAACCCAGUCCAUUAAAUCAUUUGGACCCGACCCGGAUCCGUUCAAAAUAAAGGAGGGUUUCCUUUCAUUUUUUUCCUUCAGGUCGCCGCCCCCCCAUCGUCUUCUCUCCCUUCCUCUUUCUCUCCUUCCUCUCUCUUCUCCCCUUUUCCCUAUCCGCUCCUCUCCUUCAUCAUCUCUCGUCCCCUCCACCGCCGCCUGCACCCCGCUCCCACUUCCCUCUGUCCCCCACUUCGUCUUGUCCCCCCACGCUCCUCUCUCUCUUCCACUUCCCUCUGUCCCCGCUCCUCUCAAACUCAAACCCUAAAUCGCCCUAUAAAUACCAUGAAAGGGAGUUUUUUUUGGAUUCAUGAAAUUCCCUAAGAACUGAUGUUUUCAGCCGCAUAAACCUCUCCCUAAAAAACAAUUCUUCAGCUUUGAAUACCUCUAAAAAUACCAGUCUCCAAUCGCCCGAGUUUCCCUUUAAAAUAUUAGUUUUUAUUUUCUAAAUAUCGUCUCAAGCACUAAAUUCUUUUCUGUUUUGCCCUUGAUAUUUGUUUGAAUCCGAGCGUGCGCAAGUUCGGAUUUAGAGGUGUUCGAGGGUAAAUCGAGACUCCGCACCUCAGUUCGCUGCACUCGAAGAAGGUAAAAAAGCUUCCUUAGUUGAAUUUAUAGUGUCUUAGUAUGCUUAUGUAUGUUGACGAUUGUUAAUGUUGGAUUAAUUGUUAGUUUAGCAUAUUAGUGAGUUUAGUAUUAGAAGUUUGUUUAAUUUCACAUGAAAUUCUUAAGUGUCUGCAUGUUAGUUAGUGAUUAUUAUGUGAUCAUUAUGGCUAAUUUAAGUUAAUUUAGCUUAGCAUCUGUCGAUGUUGGCAAUUUUGAUUAGUUAUUAGCUUAUUGAUUAAAUCUUGUAGCAAUAUUUGUCAUGGGUCAUGCUUAAUGGUCACUUGUACCUGCAAAAUAGUUGAUUAGUAGUAACCAGUCAUUUGUACCUAUAUGAAGCUACUAUGCUGUUAGCUGUCCUUCAUAUUAGUAUGAUUUCCCCCUUAGUUCAGUUAACCAUGAGCCGGUUUAGCUGAAUAUUAAUACAAGUACAUUCAUUUGUUGGCAUAGUUAAAUAAUUUCAUGCUAAUAUAAAUUAUAUGGUUAGCUUGCUGUUUUUAGAAUGAUGUUUGCUUUAGGCCAAGGUCAGUAAACUUCAUUUUAUUAUUUUUUUUCUUCCAGUUCUGGUGCGAGUCUGUUUCUAUGCUUAAUCUGUUGUUUAGCUCAACACGUCGCUAGGGUGUAUUUUAGAUACGUAUAUGAUGUAGUUUCACUGUCUCAAUUAAUCGCUUGUCGUUUGCCUGCAUUAUAUGGUAGUCCAGUUUAAAGACAUGUUUGGAUGCUCUUGAUUAAUGUUUAGUUUGUUUCAUACUUAUAGCCAGCCUGUUAGUUUAAAUAUGUACGAAAGCAUUGCGCAAUUUGUCCCUGUUAAGCACAUGUCCCGUGUUAGUUGAAUGAUCUAAAGUAGGAUUCAGAUAUGUUAGUUUUGGAUCUGAUUACCAGUAUGCGGUAGCCCAGUUUAGACUAUUAUUUGCUUGAGUAUGGGUUCUGUGAGUCUAUUAUCAUAGUGGAUGUAAUGCUAUGAUUGGUCUGAUGAAGCUUAGAAGUUGAUGUUUAUUAUGACCCUGAGCAAGUUUAUUUCAGUUAUGUUUUGAUUUAGCCACGUGUAGUUUGGGUCUGCAACUACUUUGUUAUGCUAUAUAAGAUUACUUCAUUCAGUCACAUUCUAGGUUAGCUUACAGCCUGCCUAAGUGGAUCUUCACAUGUUUAAUUUUCUGCUAACAUGGUAGUUUAAAUCCAUUAUCGUUCUAUAUGCUUGGUUCUGGAUCAUGCUACUAAAUUUAUGGUUUCAUGUAUUCAAGUAUUAUGACCUGGGCUCGGAUUAGGUGUUUUAAUCGCUUAAGUCUGUGGUAGGUUAGUGCCACCCUUGGAAGUUCACUGACACUUGCUUGUGCUCACUUUUAAUUGGUUUCAGUCCUCCAUAACUUGUUUAAAUGAAGUUAGUAUGAUUUAACCUGUUAUUAGUAUAGUCCAUAGAUCUUGAUUGAUAUUGGAGUUGCUUGGGAAUGCUAUGUGGGUUCUGUUAGUUGAAUCAUGGUUCUAUGUUGACUCGUAAUUUACGAAAACAUGAUUAGUUUAAACUUCAAUGACGUAGGGGAUUUUGCUUAGCCCAGUCCAGUUUGCGUAUAUCAUUACAAAUUGGUUUUCUUUAUGGUUAAAUUCGUAUGAUGAAGACCUCCUGCCUGAUAUCUAGAACUGUAGCUGUUUUACUUGUAUCAUGUUACACCUCUUCCCACUCCUCUGAUGUGUCCUUCUGUUUCCAAACAUUCGGUAUUUGUCCGGUUAAAUAUGAAUCCAGUGUGCAAAUCUGGUUGUUUGUCUGCCGAAUGUUGUUCCCCUUUUUUUUUUAGUGCUUUUUGUCUUGAAAUGACGUCUUAAGUAUGUCAAUAAGUUGAAACUCGCUACUGUUUGAAUAUUCUAUGUCAUCAUAGAUAGGGUAUUACUAAAUAGUUUCUCAAAGUCUAAAACAUGGGUUUGGUUGGGAUCAACAUAUUUAGUUUAAUGGUGACCUCUUUGCUUUGUUAUAGUAACUGAUCCUGCUGUCCUGGCUUUGGGUUUCUUUACGGCUGUUUGUGGUGUCCAAUUCCUUUCCUUUGUUGACUAAGUUUAGCAUGUUUAAUGUGGGUGCCUGAUAUCACUCGUUCUUUGUUUAAGAUUCCCAUGACUAGGUAGUGUCUAAUUCUCUUCAUUUCGGAUUCGUGUAAAGACCCUUUAGUUAGUUUGUUUAAUCGGUGCCAAUUGAUUCAGAUAUAAAUCUCAGUUCUGCAAACAUAUUAUGUUUCUCGAACCUGUUAUUUUUAUAUACACCAUGUUUGAUUAUGUGUAUACAUGAAGUAUACUUAAAUAUACAUAGUAUAUAUAUAAUCUACUGAUUUGUUUGAAUUCAUAUUUUUUACACCUUUAACAUUAUUCAUUGAGUAGAUACUAAUCCUUUGCUUUCGUUUUUUUGCAUGACCAUCGCAUACGAGUCCGAGGGACUUGUCUCCUUUUUUCGCAUUCGGUGUUGGGCUAAAAGCCCAACGAAAUCUCCCUCGCAUCAGCUCUGUCCGCGGCAAAUAAAAAUUCUGGGCCAAAGCCCAAACGAAAAAAAACAGCAGUAGCAAUCCUUAAAAGAGGCUGAGCCCAUUCAGCUUAUUGGCUCUUCUAUUUUAUUUUUUGCAUUUAAUUUGUAUUGCAUGAUUAACUCUUUAUUUUGUUUUGUUUCCUAACUUAGAUGAAUUCUAGUAAAUUUAGAGCCCGUUUGGAUUGGCUUACAGCUUAAAGCUGUUUGCAGCUUAUAAGCUGAAAAAAAUAAGUUGGGGUAGUCCAACUUAUUAUUUUUGGCUUAUAAGCUGUUUUCAGCUUAUAAGCUGCUUUAGAUAAACUAAGUCAAAUUGGUCCAAUUAUUUUUUUGAGCUUAUUUUAAGCAUAAAAUGACUUUAAGCUGGCCAGCCAAACACUCAAAAAAGCUGAAAACAGCUUAUAAGCCAACUUAUAAGCCAAUCCAAACGGGCUCUUAGUGGGGUUUAGUUUUAGUCGUGGGUAGUUAAUUUAAGAGAAACUAAUAAUUAUUUCCAUAAGUUUCAUUUUCUUCUUUUCAUAUUAAAGUAUUUAUAGUAUCUAUAAUAUUUACUUUUAGAAUAAUUAAUUUUCAAUAGCGUAAAUUCAUAUUUGAGUUAAAGGAAUUAUAUUUUAUUCUUAUUACCUUGGGAAUUUUAAAACGCCAUUAACACGCAAAGAGGAACCAAAGAAUAUUUUGUAGACAUCUUUUAAAGUUUACCCAAAUUAUGCAUAUUUUUAGCCAAAUGUAGUUAACAAAACAUAAUCUUGUUUAUACUUCUAAAACGCAAAAUCAAUUAACAUAUCAUCGUUUAGUUUGUUUCAAAUGUUUAUUAAAAUACUGCGCAAACCCGCAUUUUCUUCUACUUAUAUGCAAAUUAUCAUAUUUUUCAAAUUUUAUUUUGAACAACAUCAUCAUACUUCCAUUUAAGGCAUUAGUAGCAUUUAUAAGCUUUAUUUCAAAAUAGCAUUUUAAAAGCUCCUUUAUGCAAAUUAUUAGUCUUGUUUAAAAUAACAUUUUUUUUAAGCUUCAGCAUAUUUUUUUUAUUAUUAUUAUUAUUAUUUUUAUUUUAAAUGGCGUUAUUAUAUUUUCCUUUAAAACCUUAGUAAUAUCAUAAGUCAUUUUCUUAAAAUUUAAGCACUAUAUUUACCCUUAAUUAAUUAACCUAAGUUUGGCUGGAUAACCGUAGUUAACGGAUUUUAAAGGAUGCCUAACCCCUUCCCUUUAGGAUAAUAUAAAACCCUUACUUAGAAUCUCACUGAUUAAGCAGACUAUUGACGGAGGUUUAGUUAGCUUUACCUUAGUUAGUUAAUUAGGUGCCCUAAUUCACCUUAAAAUCAAUUAGGUGGCGACUCCUUAAACAAAACAAAAAUAGGAAUCAUCAAUAUGUUGUACUCUAAAUUUAACCCGGUUAAAAUGGGGUGUAACAGGUGACGGCAGUGCUUUAGGAGUGCGGGGCCUAAGGGACUUUCCAGAUGAUGAUAUUAUAAUAGCGAGAGUCAGCCCCGGCUCCACCACCACAACUGCUGCCGCCGAGACAGAACCUACUCUGGUAAAUAUUCUGGAGGAAAAUAUUGCCGUUAAUUCGACCAAUCUUGUUGAGGGCGCUAUCAAAAACCGUUCAAUCCCCAUCGUUGAUGUCGUUCACUCACCGGCCCCAUGGAAGGUCGUCUUGCCUGAGGUGGAGACUGUCAUAGUUGGGGAUGACACAUCCUCGGAUGUAGAACCUGCGGCUAAGAGGGUCAGGCAAGCCGAGUCAACUUCUUCUCUACCUCCUUCUCAUUCCUUUGGGCAUGAAAGUUUUGAUCAUAUGUUUCUCGAGGCAGGGGUUGCUGCCACAUCCGCUGUGAUGGCGGAUGCCUCCGGGUUUGGCCACCUCGUCAUUUAGCAUAUGUUGAGGGACUCUUCUCGUUCCCUUAGGGAAUCUGAAACUGGCUCGCGGUCGAAGCUCAUGGACACCUUUCCGGCCUCGAGUGUCGAGCUGAAAAGAAGGUAGUCUGUCACCAUUGUCGUUCCUGAGGACACUAAUUUUUUAUCCCGGUCUAUCGGGGUAGCUAGCUAUGUCCGCCCCCUUAUGUCGGAAUACGACAAAGAGAAGAUGGGGCGAGUCUCCUAGAAGUGUCUCCUCAACGAGAGUAUGCAUGCUGCGAACUAGUCUAUCAUGCUCGAGAACGAGGGUUUUGUUCGAGCCAUGCGGGAGAUAGAUGAUCUGCGGGGCCAGUUGGAUGCCCGGGGCCAAGAAAUUGAGAAGUUCAAGCUUCUCCUGUAGCAAAAAAAAAAAAGACCAGCUACGUUAGGUCGGUGACCCUUCAGCCUUCAAAACUGAGCUUUUCGAAGCUAAAGAGGAAAACCUUUGAGCAAAGAACGAUCUCGCGGACAUGGUCGAGAAAAAUAAACUCCUAGAGGCGGACAUAAAGAGGCUUGUUGAGGAUGCCUCCGCUUCUGCCAAGCAGUUCGAGGAACGCGGGGCAACCAUCACCCAGCUGAGGCAAGAGGUAGACUCUCUCAAGAUCAAUUCGCCCGGAUUGAGUCGGAGAGGGCCUCCGAGAAAGAAGUCUUGAGGGUUGCCCAAGAAAAGGUAGACAAUCAGGCUAAAGCCCUCGAAGAUCUCAGGGGUGAGUUCAAAACUUCUGCCUAAGCCCGUGACACCCUGAGCCAAAGGAAUGUCGAGCUAUCGGCCUAACUGGAGCUAGCCCUGUCCGAAAGGAACCAUGCCCGGGAUGAUGUUGAAGCAGCCAGGGCUCGAUCCGUGUUAAAAGUUGAGCAUAAGAAAUGAAAAUAUCGUAGGGCUACCUUGGAAGAGGCUCGGGGUGGCAUUGAGGAUAUUGCUGCCAAAAUCGAGGAGGCGAGGGUCGUCGAGAGUAUCGCUCUGAAAGUACUACUCGAGAACAGCUCAGAGGAUGACCUCAAAGGCUCCGACUUUGAUGGCUUGGAUUCCUCUUCGGAGGGUUAGAUAGGCUUAGGCUUGUAUUUUCUUUCGCUUUUUGUAAAUUUAUCAAGGUCGGUCUUUGGCCUUGUGUUUAUAUAAAGUGGAAACUUUUAUUUGACUUUACUGUGUUGGUAUUUAUUUUUUGAGCAUUCUUCUGCUUUCAAUACUUAAUCAA